rnacentral:rRNA from 1 species
CAGUCGCCGCGGGAACACGUAGGGUGCGAGCGUUGAUCGGAAUUACUGGGCGUAAAGCGUGCGCAGGCGGUUCGUUAAGACAGAUGUGAAAUCCCCGGGCUUAACCUGGGAACUGCAUUUGUGACUGGCGAGCUAGAGUAUGGCAGAGGGGGGUAGAAUUCCACGUGUAGCAGUGAAAUGCGUAGAGAUGUGGAGGAAUACCGAUGGCGAAGGCAGCCCCCUGGGCCAAUACUGACGCUCAUGCACGAAAGCGUGGGGAGCAAACAGGAUUAGAUACCCCUGUAGUCCCUGUCUCUUAUAA